GUGAACUGUGAACGGUGAACUGCUCCACAGUUCAUCCAGAAUGAUGUUUGGAUUUGGUGGAAGCAUUCCAGAAUAUGCCAGUCCUUCAAAACAGGGAGCCCUCACUGGGCAGGGUAGAGGAGAUGCAAAGUCAUGCUUCGUUGGGUAAGCGAACACUGGCCACCUUCCAGCUGUUUUUUCCAGCUUUGACACACCGAAAGUGAGGUGGUGAUGUAACCCAGGCCUGCCCUGAAGCCCAUUCGUGUACCACGGAUCUUAUUAUGAUACCACCCACCUACAAUACAGCCCAGACGGCAACAGGUCCUCCGGCAGCAUUGGAGAGGGCUCUAGUGAACUCCACCUAGAACCAGCUGAUUUAACGAACUCUCAUUCAUGAUAAGAAACAUUCGUCUAUAAAAUGGAGUAAACGAGAAUAUAAUGAAUUUCCCCCAGCAGGUCAAGGUCAGGCUUGGGUAUCUGGGUGGGGAACUGAUGGUGGCAGGCAGCUCAUGCAGAGAGAGAGAGUCUCAGCCAGGCUUGGCCCCGGAGAUGGUUUCAAAUCUGGAAGUUUCAGGCUCCAGUGAAAAACUCAUUUUCAAAUGUGUAAGGCUGUGAGUGCCUUGAAAGCAAGCCUGUGUGUUACUCAUCUCCACAAGCCCAGCAUCGCUCACGUGCCUUUCACACCACUGGAGCUCAGCUCUGCAGGACCAGUAGAUCUUUAAGUCCGGGUAGAAAACUGGAGACACGAGUAUUCAGCAACGGGAUCUUCCCUGGGAAUGCUCCGGAUAUGAAAGGAGAUACGAAGGAAGAGAAAGAAAGCUCUACAAAUAAUAAUGACAAAUUAGAUCGAAGGUUGGAAAUGUUUUAAAAGCAAUCUGCCCAGACUCUAAAUCCUUUCUUCUUCUAUUUUCAGGGGAGUGAGGAACACAAUGACCCCCUUGACGGGCACGUGGUAAAUUCACAGCUCGUGUAGCUCUCGCUGAAGAGGACCUGCUCAUCAUUCAGCAAACACAGACAUGAAGUUCAGCAUCGGGCUCCCUGGUGUGUCUGACGGAUGGGACUUCCAAAGGCUGUAAAGGUCCUUGCUCAAGUCUCAGCAGUUGCCUGGAUGUAGCAGUUACACCAAGUACUUGAGUACCAGUAAAAUGGCAGUUACUCCACACUGUUCACUUGGAGAAUAACUGCCACUUCAUGCUUAUUGCUUAUUUAUUUCCUUCCUUCCUUCCUUCCUUCCUUCCUUCCUUCCUCUUUCUCUCUUUGACAGGGUCUCUCUCUGUUGCAGAAGCUGGAGUGCAGUGGCCCAAUCUCAGCUCACUGUGGCCUCGGCCUUCUGGGCUCAAGAAAUCCUCCCACCUCAGCCUCCCAAAGUGCUGGGAUUACAGGCAUGAGCUACCACAGCCUGCCUUGUUGGGUUUCUAGACAAGGUCCCUGAGACCCAGAAAGGUAAAGUGAUAUACAAAGUUCAAUAAUUACAUGUGGUGAAGCCAGCGUAGCAUCCACACCUCCUCCCUCCCCAUUUAAUGUCUUUUCACCAGAGAGCAUGUGUUAAUGAGGCUGUGGUUGUAGACUCUUAUAGGAACUGAAGACCUGUAAGACCCAUAUCCCAGUUAGCCAUCUUACAAACAGAAGCAUUCACUGAAUAUAUGUCCAGGCGAGAGAAUAGGUGGCUGUAAGAAAACUGACCCCAUUCUUUGAAACAAACACACGCAAGCUUCUUUCUCUAUCUAUCUACCUAUCUUCUAUUUCUCUAUUAUCUAUCUAUCUAUCUUUCUUUCUUUCUUCAUCACUAUAAUGCUCAAGAAUAUAUUUGCAGCAAAACCCAAUGCUAUUCUGAUCAAGAGCAAAGCCAUCAAUAGCUCUUGGUUGGAACUUGGGAAAAAACUGGGCAUAGAGAGCCUGGUGAAUACUUAUCCAGGUGAUACCAACUGUUGUAGGUCUCUUGAGUGUGGACCAUGUAUCUGAAGAAACAAUUGUUUAAAUGUUACUCAAAGGACCAAAAGGAUGGAUGUCCAAAGGGUGAGCAUUUGAUUUCUCCUCAUGUGUGGAACUUGCCUUUUAGUGACCUGGCUGAUGAGUGGCCAACGCUCUUCCUGUGCCAUUGUGUCCCACACAGCCAGAAUUUAAUCAUGCAGGAGCUGCUGGAAAGAUGCUCUAUGCAGAGAGAAAUUAAUGGAAUGAACUCAGGACAAAACCCUUGUCUCGGGUCUGCGUCAUUCUAAUAGCAGAACAAACUUCAUGCUGUCAGCAGCAAAAGAGAUGACUGGAAAUCACCUUUAGCUUUUCCAUCCAUUAUGACAGCAUGGGCAGAACGAGGAAGGAGGACAGCAAACAGGAUGAGAAACCACAGAUGAGGUGGCAGGCAGGAGGCAUGCGCUGUAUCCAUCCAAGGACAAAGAGAGGUGGCAGGAGCUAAGGCUGUGACCAGGAGAGAAAUGUGAGCCGACUUAAAGGGAAAGACAGAAGGGAGCCCUGUGCAGACUGGCUGUUUGUUACAGCUUAAGCAAAAGUGCCAAAGAAACUCUGUGAAUCAGGACUUGCACACAAGGAUGGGGGUCAGACCCAAGCUGAUGUCUACCUGGCUGAGAACGAGUCCCAUUCACUGUAUGAGGCUCAUGGAGUCUUUGCCAAGGGGCUAGUCCCAGGUUCUGGGUAUGUGGAGGGUCAGCAUUCAUGGGGAGACAUUCCUCCGCCUCUUCUGUUCUUUCCCCUAAACCUGUUAACUCCUGACACACAUCUUAUGAAUUUCUAAACCAUAUCGUCUAGUAGAAGAUCACAGAAGUUGAGUCAGUGACUCACUGGGCCAAGUUCUAUUCGUAGACAGGGAGACUGGGGAGAGUGGACUCAUUGCCGCAGUUCCACAAAGCUCUUCCGGUUAGGGGAUGCAUUGCCCAGAGUUCCACAAAGCUCUUCCGUGUAGGGGAUGCACUGCCAGGAGUGCCACAAGGCUCUUCCGGUGAGGGGAUGCAUUGCCGAGUUCCAGAAAGCUCUUCCUUGUAGGGGAAGCAUCGCCCGGAGUUCCACAAAGCUCUUCCGGUGAGGGGAUGCAUCGCCCGGAGUUCCACAAAGCUCUUCCGGUGAGGAGAUGCAUCGCCCGGAGUUCCACAAAGCUCUUCCGGUGAGGGGAUGCAUCGCCCGGAGCUCCACAAAGCUCUUCCGGUGAGGAGAUGCAUCGCCCGGAGUUCCACAAAGCUCUUCCGGUGAGGAGAUGCAUCGCCCGGAGUUCCACAAAGCUCUUCCGGUGAGGAGAUGCAUCGCCUGGAGUUCCACAAAGCUCUUCCGUGUAGGGGAUGCACUGCCGAGUUCCACAAAGCUCUUCCGUAUAGGGGAAGCAUCGCCUGGAGUUCAACAAAGCUCUUCCAUGUAGGGGAUGCAUCGCCCAGAGUUCCACAAAGCUCUUCCAUGCUGUUGGCUCUUUUGUCUCCUAAACCCUCUUCUCUCCCUGGAGAUUGUGGAAGUGCUCUUGACUAAUUCUCUGAGCUCUGUGUGGGUUGAGAGCUUAAUUCUGUUGCCCAACCUGGAAAGGGCAGAUGGGGGAGUCGGGACACCCGUGUCUUAUGCCUGACUCUGUUAUGACUUAGCUGUGUGACAGGGGACAUUUUUGUUGGUCACAACUUGGAGGGUGCUACUGGCAUCCAGAGGAUAGAAGCUUGAGAUCCCAGGAAAUGCCCUACAGUGCACCAGGCAUCCCCCUACGACACAAACAUCUGGUCCAUGACAUCACUCGUGCCCCUGUGGAAAAACUCUGCCCUAGAUUUGUUUUCUCACCUGUAAACUGAGAGGUUUGGAUUAGAUCAUUUUAAAAAUCAUUUUCAAAGACAAACUUUGAAAAGUCGAUGGUGAAGCAUAAAAUUUUACCUUAAAUUUAGAUAUGAAUCAUAACAUAAAUGAUGCUGAGAAGCAAAAAUGAAUCUCCCAAAGUAUAUAAGUGAAAUGACAGUAGCUCUUAUCAGUAAUAAGGGACUGUGCCUUGUGGCUAAGGUAGCCCCUUAAGCUAUAAAGAUGUGAGAAAUGGCAUUUUAUCAACAAGGUAUCCAACAAGGCAUUCAUUUAGAGAGAAGGAAAAAAAUCCCAAUUUCCAAAUCCCAGGCUUCCACUUAGGAGAGGCUGGAGGGAAGUGAUACACACAAACCCCUCCUGUCUAAACAAUGUGCCAGACAGAAAAAGGCCAGAGGUGAUUCGUGUGGAAAUGGGUUUUUACAGGAGCUGCAAUAAAGAACCCCCUUUCCCAAGCCCUACUGAAAUGAAAUGCUAGCUAUAUAAUCAAUGUCAUGAAGCAGAAAAGGCCUGGGGAACACCAGGGAAACCUAUCUACUGGCCAGGCACACGGAGUGCAGGUCCAGAGCUGGUGAGCAGGCUCUCUCACCAGGACGUGUGACAAUCAUCUCCUGCUGUGUAGCUUGGGGCCCCCUCCCACUGGGCUGUCACGCUGACAGAGGCUGACCUCACAGGUCUUCUUGGAGGGUCUCAGCAUUGGUAUUCAUCCCUGAAAAAUUCACUACACCUCCACAAACACAACUGAUAGCAAAUAUGAUUACAGGGAGUUCUGGGGGAGCUGAGGAGACAGGAGACGUGUUAUGAAAGGGAAAAUAAAACUCCCAAACCACCAACAAUGACACUUCACGUAUAGAUGGCUGCCCAGUGGAAUGGGAACGCUGCGUCCCGGUAACUCUGGAGUCUAUGUUCAAGGAAGAUCUAGAUAAUUUAGAAAUAUCAGUCUGGGCUCAUGAGGAUCACCUGCGCUUGUGAUCCUCUGAGGCUUAAUUGUUAUAUUUCAUUCUUACAGUUUUCAGAUUGGGAGAAAAUGGGGCACUCAAGAGCCAUUUGGACUUUUCAAAGGUCAGGGUCUGAAGAGCCUGAUGCUUAGACACUGAUAGGGACCCUGACUCUAAAAACCUUUGCAGGAGUGGAGGUGCAGGCAUGGUGGGUGGGAGGUGUGAUCUCUGGCUUAGACACCAGCAUGAAACACCCCCGGGAAGCAUCAGGAAAUGUCUUAAGUAAAUGCCAGGAAGGGGAGGAGGCAAAUGAGAGAGUUCAGGCCACAGUUGCCUCAUUUUCAUAGUUCAAGAAGUCAUUCAUGAAGAAUGUCACACACACACACAAAACAGAUAGAAAAGGUAGCCUCUGCCAAGGUCUCCUUUCCUCGUAUGGACAUUUAUGAUAUUAUGAUAUUGACAGCACUAAUAAUAUUGUGGAUUUUAAAUCUUCAUUUCCCCAACAUUCUCACCCACAUGGUAAUUUGGGUGAUUUAGACAAGCCACUCUCUGAGGGGAAAGUUGGAGAAUGCAGAAGUUAGUGCAGUCAGCAACUCCAGCAACCUGACAUAUCUAAGAGUUGGAAUAUCGAAGGAAAAUCUAAAAACAGGUCAGUGAGUGAAAUCUGACCUCUACCUAGCCAUGAAUAGAUGAUUGUUUUUAUUUUUCUACAUUUUUUUUUUGAGAUGGAGUCCCACACUGUUGCCCAGG
rnacentral:lncRNA from 1 species